GUUCCAGCAGCCGCGGUAAGACAGAGGGUGCAAACGUUGUUCGGAAUUACUGGGCGUAAAGCGCGUGUAGGCUGCUCCGCAAGUCGGAUGUGAAAGCCCUGGGCUCAACCUAGGAAGUGCAUUCGAUACUGCGGAGCUGGAGUCCUGGAGAGGAAGGCGGAAUUCUCGGUGUAGAGGUGAAAUGCGUAGAUAUCGGAAGGAACAUCAGUGGCGAAGGCACCAUCCUGGGGAGUCACUGACGCUCAUGUACGAAAGCUAGGGGAGCGAACGGGAUUAGAUACCCCUGUAGUCC
rnacentral:rRNA from 1 species